CCUACGGGUGGCAGCAGUGAGGAAUAUUGGUCAAUGGACGGGAGUCUGAACCAGCCAUGCCGCGUGAAGGAAGACUGCCCUAUGAGUUGUAAACUGCUUUUGUACAAGGAUAAACCUGAGUACGCAUAUUCAGCUGAAUGUACUGUACGAAUAAGGAUCGGCUAACUCCGUGCCAGCAGCCGCGGUAAUACGGAGGAUCCAAGCGUUAUCCGGAUUUAUUGGGUUUAAAGGGUGCGUAGGCGGAUUGAUAAGUUAGAGGUGAAAUUUUCGAGCUUAACUCGGGAACUGCAGUUAAUACUGGCGAUCUAGAGAGUAGAUGAGGUAGGCGGAAUGUAUGGUGUAGCGGUGAAAUGCUUAGAGAUCACAAAGAACACCGAUUGCGAAGGCAGCUUACCAAUCUAUAUCUGACGUUGAGGCACGAAAGCGUGGGGAGCAAACAGGAUUAGAUACCCUGGUAGUC
rnacentral:rRNA from 1 species